rnacentral:rRNA from 1 species
AGUAUAAAGGUAGUGACUGUGAAACUGGUCUCAAAGAUUAAGCCAUGUUAUGGUUUAUAUAAGCGAGUAUACUGUGAAACUGCGAAUGGCUCAUUAAAUCAGUUAUGGUUUAUUUGAUUCCCGACUUCUACUUGGAUAACCGUAGUAAUUCUAGAGCUAAUACAUGCAGGAGUUCCCGUCGGAUUUCGGGGCGGUCCCGCCGGUCUGCCGAUGGGUACGCACUGGCGGGCGCGUCCUUCCUCCCGGAGACGGCCGCUACUCUUAACUGAGCGGUGGUCGGAGACGGGAUGUUUACUUCAGCUUUCGAUGGUAGGAUAGAGGCCUACCGCCUACCAUGGCGUUAACGGGUAACGGAGAAUUAGGGUUCGAUUCCGGAGAGGGAGCCUGAGAAAUGGCUACCACAUCCAAGGAAGGCAGCAGGCGCGUAAAUUGCCCGAAUCCUGACACAGGGAGGUAGUGACAAGAAAUAACAAUACAGGGCUCUUCGAGUCUUGUAAUUGGAAUGAGUACAAUUUACAUCUCUUCACGAGGAUCAAUUGGAGGGCAAGUCUGGUGCCAGCAGCCGCGGUAAUUCCAGCUCCAAUAGCGUAUAUUAAACGAUGGGUACGCACUGGCGGGCGCGUCCUUCCUCCCGGAGACGGCCGCUAUGCCGAUGGGUACGCACUGGCGGGCGCGUCCUUCCUCCCGGAGACGGCCGCUACUCUUAACUGAGCGGUGCGCUCUUGCAUGGAUUAGCAUGGGAUAAUGAAAUAGGACUCUGGUGCUAUUUUGUUGGUUGAUUAGCAUGGGAUAAUGAAAUAGGACUCUGGUGCUAUUUUGUUGGUUUCGAGCACCGGACCGGAGUAAUGAUUAACAGGGACAGUCAGGGGCACUCGUAUUCCGCCGAGAGAGGUGAAAUUCUCAGACCCGAACCACUGCGAAAGCAUUUGCCAGGGAUGUUUUCACUGAUCAAGAACGUCAAGAACGAAAGUUAGGGGAUCGAAGACGAUCAGAUACCGUCGUAGUCUUAACCAUAAACCGACUAGGGAUUGGAGGAUGUUCCAUUUGUGACUCCUUCAGCACCUUUCGGGAAACUAAAGUCUUUGGGUUCCGGGGGGAGUAUGGUCGGGUCGCAAGGCUGAAACUUAAAGGAAUUGACGGAAGGGCACCACCAGGAGUGGAGCGUGCCAACACGGGGAAACUUACCAGGUCCAGACAUUGUGAGGAUUGACAGAUUGAGAGCUCUUUAUUGAGAGCUCUUUCUUGAUUCGAUGGGUGGUGGUGCAUGGCCGUUCUUAGUUGGUGGAGUGAUUUGUCUGGUUAAUUCCGUUAACGAACGCCUGCUAAAUAGCGUGCCGAACCCUUUGUUGGGCGUCGCUUCUUAGAGGGACAACUUGUCUUCAACAAGUUCAACAAGUCGGCAAUAACGGCAAUAACAGGUCUGUGAUGCCCUUAGAUCGCACGCGCGCUACACUGAUGCAUUCAGCGAGUCUAUCACCUUGACCGAGAGGUCCGGGUUUUGAACUUGAUCUUGUGAAGGGAUAGAUUGAUGGGGAUAUUAAAUCUUCAACUAUUAAUCAAUUCCUAGUAAGCGUGUGUCAUCAGCGCACGUUGAUUACGUCCCUGCCCUUUGUACACAUUUGUACACACUCCUACCGACUCCUACCGAUUGAAUGAUCCCCGGACUGCCCCGGACUGCGCUGGUUCUCAGCUUUGGGGGUUGCGGGAACUGUCCGAACCUAUCGG